UCUCUGGUUUCUCUUCACUGAAUAAAUCUUUGCUUUUUACUAAAGAUUUCUGUGGAGAGGAACAACUCAGUUUCUAGCUAAUUUUUGGAGGCAUUGCUCUGGCAUGGCU
ensembl:snRNA U5 U5 spliceosomal RNA